GCAAGUCGAGCGCUUCACUUCGGUGAGGAGCGGCGGACGGGUUAGUAACGCGUGGGAAUAUACCCUUCUCUACGGAAUAGCCUCGGGAAACUGAGAGUAAUACCGUAUAAGCCCUUCGGGGGAAAGAUUUAUCGGUGAAGGAUUAGCCCGCGUUAGAUUAGAUAGUUGGUGGGGUAAUGGCCUACCAAGCCAACGAUGGGUAGCCGGCCUGAGAGGGUGAAC
rnacentral:rRNA from 1 species